rnacentral:lncRNA from 1 species
UGUCAUGAGAAAAAGAAGGCUAACUGUUUUGAUAAAACUUGCUUCAGUUUCAUCUCUUCUGUUUUAUUAUUAAGUCAAAAUCAUUAUUAAGGCUUGCUGAUGUGUACUUUGAUUAUUUUUAAUAGUUUGGCUUGAGCUCCCACCUUUCAUUGGUUUGGGAGCUGGAUGCAGGAAACCUCACCUUUCCCCUUCCUGUCUCUGGUCUUUGCUGUCCCCUCCCGUUAAUGGAGUGUUUUCUUCAACAAUCGGAUGGAUCUUUGUUUUCCUCCAUUGAUUCUCUGAGAUGGUGCACACUCAUCGUGAUGAAUGUACCGUG